AUCGUCUAGCGACAUCUCUAAAGCACUUGACAUUUCUGUAAAUCUUCUUUAGUAAAGAACAAAAGAAACAGAAAGAGAGAGAGAAAAAAAAAAGUACAGAUUAGAGGAGUAGAGAUAGGGUACCCGCAAAAGAAAAGAACUCAGAAAAGAUUUGUAUUAAAAAAUGACACACACUUGAGUCUGUUUAACACGUGUAUUUCACAUGGUAUAUAGUCAUUCUUCGAAAGACAAUGACAUUCAGGUGUCGUCGUGUCACGUCAGUGUCUGGUAUUUGGACGAAUCAUACAAUUGAUCGUGAUAAAAUUAAAAAUAAUAAUAAAAUUUAUUAUAAUUAUAAUUAAAAAAACAUUUUUAUAAUUAUGAUUGAAAAAAAUUAAUAAAAAAUUUAUAUUGAUUUAAUUUUAUUAAAAUUAAUAUUUAAAUUUAAUUAAAAAUUAGAUAAAUUUAAUUAUAUUGUAUUGAAAAUAUAAUAAAUUUAAAUGAAAACUAACAUAUUAAAAAUAUGUAAUUCAAGUCGGUGACGUUAAUCAUAUUUUUAUUUCAUUGAAUCACUUUUUUUUUUUCGUUGAAGUUUCAUAUACGGAGAAUAGAAGUAGGAAAUUAGGAAUAUAAUAGUAAAUUUUCAUCAAAAUAAACUCUUUAAAAUAAUAUAUAAUAUAUUAUUCAUUUAUUUUUUUAUUGAAAUUUCAUAUACGGAUAAUAGAAAUAUCAUAUAUGGGGAAUAGAAAAUUAGAAAUAUAGCAGCAAAUUUUCAUCAAAAUAAACAUUGUCUUUAAAAUAAUACAUACCAUAUUAUUUAUUUAUUCUAUUAAUGUAGUUAAAUUAUCAACAUCUUUGAUAGGAACAUCACUCAUAUCUUUUGAGCAAAGACAUUUACUCUAUUAACAACACAUAUUGAGGCGAGUGACGAUAGCUAGGAGAGAUGGCAAGACGUUGAUAGAGAUCACUCAUAUCUUCUGAAAUUUCAUACACGAGGGAAUAAGAAACUAGGAAUAUAGUAGCAAAUCUCCAUCAAAACCAACUUUGUCUUUCAAAUAAUAGAUAAUAUAUCAUUUUCUUAUUCUGGUGUUGUAGUUGAAUUAUCAAUGUCUUUGAUAGGAACGUCACUCAUAUCUUUUGAACGAGGACAUUUACUCCAAAUUCAGGCUCUAUUAGCAAAGCAUAUUGAGGCGAGUGGCGAUAGUUGGGAGAUAUGGUGAGACGAAAGUUUGACAGGAUGAUUGCGAACAACACCUGUAGUUCUGUCAUUGCAAGGCUCUGGCCUGGACAUACUCGAGCCCCUACACCAAAUGGUAUGUAGGCUUGAGAAGAUCUGCAUGCUUUAGAAAUGCCAUUAGCGAAUCUCUCAGGGUUGAAUUUUUCUGCAUCAGGUCCCCAAAAUUUAGGAUCAAAGUGCAGUUCUAGCAACCAUAGCCAAAUAUUAACCCCUUUUGGUAUUUCAACGUGACCAAGCUUCACAUUUUGCAAAGCUUGCCUUGAAACAAAUGCCGUUGCAGGGUAAAGUCGCAGCACCUCUAGAACCACCAUUCUUAACUGCACCAAGUGAAUGGAAUUUUGGGUUAGAAAUGAGAACAUCUCAUGGUAAUUGACAGACCCUAUAAUCUUGCUAUUACAUACCGCUUUCAUCUUGUGAAGCAUGUCGAAAUUUAGGAUUCCACCGUUACACACUUCUAAAACCUCAGUACGUAUACGAGUUUGCCAUUCAGGAUGUGAAGCUAAUAACAUUAGACCCCAUGUUGCAGAAACAGCAGUAACUUCAGAGGCAGGGAUGCAGAUGUCCUUGCAAUUGUCCACUAUGAACUCUUCAGCUGUGGAUGGCCCAAGAACACCAUUUUUGGAACCUUCGAUGAUCACUUGCAACAAGUCUUUAGAAGCAGACUCGGCGUGCUUCUUUACUAUGUCCAUAAUUGUUGAAUGAAUCUCCUUCUCAAGCCUCCAAAUCUCUCUAUUCGUUUUAGUGGGAAAGUAUCUAAUAUGUGGGAAAAAAAACCAGAACCGGUUUGAGCAUGAAAAGAGAUGUUUGUCCUCAAAUUGCAUAUAGUAAACAGCAAAAACAAGCCAGGAUGGAAAGCAGGAAGAGCAUACCUGUAGAAAGGGAUACCACUGAGUAUCGUUGGUGUGCUCAUGGCAUUAAUAAGAGCUAGAGAUUUUGGAAAUAUUUCCAUGCCCUUCUGCCAUUCAUCCCCGAACAUCACAUUUGAAAUGAUAAACGAGGUGAAGUGUCUCACAUAAUCAUCAACUCUGAUGUCUGCAAUCCCACCAUUAGCUUCAACUAUGUUCUCCCAUGAUUUCACCAGUUCCCCGCCGGACUGCACCAUUAGCUGUAGCAUGUCCUGCAUUCAGAAGUUUCAUGGAAUUUCGUCCAAAAAAAAAGGCAUAUGGAAGAGACUUCUUAUCACAAACUAAGGGGAUAAACGUUACCUUGACCUUGUCCACGAAAAGAUGGGGCGCAAUAGUCUUUCUCUGAUAGGACCAGAUUGCCCCAUUCGUGGUGAUAAGGCCCUUGCCUAGCAAAGCUCCUCGAUCUUUUUGUAGAUAAGCAGGUUUCCCCAUAUCCAACGACGUGAAACAGUUUAUUUCUCUUACGAAAUAAGCGUCAGCUACAUACAAGAACUGUGACCUCCCAAGUGCAAACAAGAACGACUGACCUGUGCCAAUCAAUGCCAGAAUCAUGUUUAACAAGCACAUAAACUAGGGAGGAUUGAAGCAGCACUUUAAAACUGGAUUACAAAGAGAACCUACUGCAUUAAAAAUAUUAAGUAUAGCAGUGGUAAUAAUAGGGGUAUAGCAACAAAAACAAUUACAGCAGAAGCUAUUGAAAUAAGAAAAAGAUGAAAAGAACAAUUGUGCUGAAAGAAGAAUAUGCAGACUAUAGUUGAGAGAUACCAUAUUGUUUAGUCCACUGCUUAAAAUAAGGGAAGAGAUUCAUUAAACAAUGCUGUGACAAGGGCUCCUUGAUUGGUUCAUUGGAGGACUGAUUUGGAGCAGCGGGAAGCAUCUGCUUCAUUUGAGGAACGUUCCCCCAAAGGAAAGCAGGUAACGGACCAUCAAUCCCUUGCCUUCGAAGACUCAGUCGACGACUUUCUCCACUGAGCCAGAGAACAUGAAAGAGAUAGACAAGCAAGCUCCAAAACCCCAAGCCAGCAAAAAUAAUGGCAACAUUGUAGAAAUCCAUCGGGCAGGCAGAUUGGCCUUCCUAUCAAUGCUUGCAAGAUAUUUAUAUGCGUGACAACGUUCGCAGAGUUCAAAUUCCAUAAAAAAGGUGAAACAUGUGUGGGGAUGUUUUUAUUAAUUGCCAUUGGUCAUGAACUCAAAGUUUAUAUAAUAAUUAAAGAGUGUUUGGGAGAAUAUAAAAAUUUUGAUUUUUUAUAUUUUUUUUAAUAAGUUACAUCAAUUUUAUUUAUUAAAAAAAUUAAUAAAAAUAUCUUUAUCAAUUGCCAUGAUUAUUUGUCUUGAUUUAAUUGUUUAUUUAAAUUGAAUUUGUAUUUGAUUCUUAAAUGAUUGAAGGUAUUUUUUAUUCUUAAAUGAAAGUAUAUUUAUGAAUUGGAUUAAUUGGACUUGGAAAAACAUAAAUUUUUUUGGGUUCAAAUAAACAUCGAUAAUCAAAAGCUAACUAUUUUAAUUACAAGAAAUCUUAAUAUAACUUACAAGAAAUUCACCUGGACAUUGGAUUUUUUUCGAAUCCCACAUUAAUAGUGUAUCAGUUUUUUUUUUUUUAAUUAUAUAAAGAUUUUCUGGUAUUUAAAAAAUUUGUAAGAGAAAUUGAUUAUAGAAAAUAAUUUUUAUAUUUUAUAUUUGAUUUUAAAAAUAAUUUUCAUUUUUAUUUUUAAUUUAUAAAAAAUAUGGUUUUUAAAGGAAAUUGAAAAACUAUUUUAACAAAAUGACAAAAAUGGAAUUAUGAGUUUAUUCAUGGACCGUAAAUCAAUCGGAUCACCAUUAUAAUCAUAAAAAAUGUGUUUGAUAUAUUUAGAAAAUGGACAAAAAUGAAAUUAUGAGUUCAUUCAUGCAUCAUAAAUCAAUUGAACCACCAUUAUAGCCAUAAAAAUGUUUUGUCCAUUUAUGCUAGUACAACUUGUACAAUUUGUUGGAGAGAAUGGCUUCAAGUCUUCUUCAGCUUAGUAUCAUAUGGUGUUUGCUUUGAUGUUUUUAGGCAUUGUUUCAGCUUUAAGUUUCUCUCAUAUAGGGACAGCAAUAGGUUGAAAAGGGAUGGAUUUUUGUUUCUCUCAAUUUGGAUUCGAUAAUUUUUUUAUAUUUUAAUUUAUUUUAAUAUUAUAUAAAAUUAUAUUUGAUUCGAUUUAAUUUAAAAUUAAUAAAAUAUUAUUUUUUAAAAUAAAAAUAUAAUUUUUUAUUAUAAAUAUAAAAUAUAUUACUUAAAUAAAUAAUUAAAUAUUGUUAUAUAUAUACUAAAUCAAAUUGGGGUGAAUUUACCUAAAUUUUGACCUCAACUUUUUUUUUAAAAUUAUCCAUUUGAUUCAAAAUUUAAUUUAAAAAAAUAUAAAAAUAAUUUUAAAAAAUUAAAUUAAAUCAAAACUCGUUAAUAAUGAAUUGAACUAUCAUCCGUAUUAUCGUAUGUUUAAAAUAAGCAGACAGUAAAGGUCAUAUCAUCUUUGUAAUUAGAUUGUUUGAAUAAAGCUUAUGGCUUUGAUUAGGAUCAUACUUGAGGAUCAAUGGAAUGUUAUUCAUCAUAAUUUCUUCCACUCCUCAGAUGGACUGCUUAAAAGUACCAUUCUUGUACAACCAAUCAAUUCCAUUUGAACAUAACAUCCAUUUUUGUUUUAAAAAAUAAUUUAAUAAAAAUUAUUGUUAAACAAUUUUACAUUCGAAUUAAACAAAUCAAACACAAAAAAAUAAAAUUAUCAAAAAUAUGCUCCGUGAUCUUAAAAAAAGAAAUCAAAUUAUCAAACGUAAACUUAUUUUCGUAAACUAAACGUCUCCUUUACAGAUUAAUACUCUAAUCUCGGAGUUCAACUCCGAAUAGUAACGUUGCAUGCAAGAAAUGUGUAUAACAUAAAUUAAUAAGAGAAGCGUGUGGUGUUGAAAGCAAUGACGUAAAGGAAAGCACCGGAAGUCAUGGUUAAGGACUUUAAGAAAUGUUGUUGGCAUUUAAAUUGAUAGAAAUUAUAAUUAAUGGAUGAAAGUAAAAGGCAUUCUAGAUGUUCAUCCAAUAAAAAAAAAAAAAGAAAAAACGACUUUCUUAACCUGCUAGGCAUUUAAUUUUUGGCAUAUAUUUGGCAAUAUAAAAUUCAUUCUCUUCUCACGAUGAAUCUGAUUAAAUUAGAGAAACUCGAUGAUGAUUAUCAACAAAUGAGAUAAGAUUAUGAAUUACCUGAGCUGGACGACAUGGACCAACCAAAAAGAAUCAAAGAAAAUUGCGACAAGGAACCUUAGAAUAAAAAAUAAUUAUCCAAAAUAAUGUCAACAACAUCAUAACUCAGUUGGUAGGGUUGUUAUUUUUUAUAUAAAUAUUUUUAAAUUUAAUUUCAACCGAUACUUUUUUAUUAAAAUUAUUUUAAAUAUAUGAUCUAUAAUAAUUGUUAUUUAAACUGUCGAGAUAUGAUACGUAUUACCUUGAUACGAAUAAAUAAAUAAUCUAUCUACAAUUUUUUUUAAUCCAAAAAAAGUUACCCAAAAUAAUUUGUAGGAAAAAAAAAAGGCAUUUUCAUUUCGAGGGUUCAGCCAUUUCUAAAACCGUCAGUACCGUAUAUUUACAUUCAUCAAAACCAAAUUAACCAGCAAACAGAAGAAGGGAAAAAUCAAUUACGACUACCGUAAAACCCUAACCCAAAAGUCCCAUAUUUCAUCAAAUUCCCAAAUCCAACAAAAUACAGGAACCCUAACUUUUCACACACCUAUAUUCAAGAGCUAGUAAACUUAGUCACCGCCUUUGUGCCUUCAGAGACUGCGUGUUUGGCAAGCUCUCCAGGGAGUACAAGUCUAACAGCAGUCUGGAUUUCCCUGGAAGUAAUCGUGGGCUUCUUGUUGUACCUUGCGAGUUUAGAAGCUUCUUGUGCAAGCUUCUCGAAUAUAUCGUUUAUGAAACUGUUCAUGAUUCCCAUAGCCUUGCUUGAGAUCCCGAUAUCUGGGUGGACUUGCUUAAGGACCUUAAAGAUGUAGAUCUUGUAAGUCUCGACGCCCUUCUUGGCUUUCUUCUUCUUCUUGUCUCCAGCCGCACCUUCCUUGGGAAGCUUCUUGCCGGCCUUUGGCUUCUUCUCCGCUGGCGCUUUCUCACCGACGGUGGUCUUUUUCUCCUCAGUUGGCUUCUCAGCUGGCUUCUUCUCGGCUGGCUUUUUCUCGGCUUUUGGCGCCAUGUAGGGUGCUCUUCUUUUUGAUCUCGGUAAACAAAGAAAUCUGAUUACUUUCUUGCGAUCGGCGGUGAAUUGGUAGAUGGAAGAAGUUGGAGUUUGAUAUUUAUAGCAUGGAAAGGAAGAGUUUGAUUGGAGGAUUCGGGAAGAUGCGGAUCACUGAUGUGGAGUUUUGUGACCGUUGGAUUAGGAAAAUGGAUCGACGGCCUGGAAAUAUGCGUGGAGGUUGGUUUGCGUGAGAAGUAAAAUGGGAGACGUGGCGAACAAUUAUUCGUAGAGAUAAUGCGGUUCCGUUUGAUGAGUUAGGAUUGGGCGCGAGUGGGAUCGGUUCAGAAUUUCGAUUUUUCGAAACGUUUUUGGUUGCCCGCCAAACAGAAAAUCUGUUUUUCCCUGCAUGAACUGGGAUAUUGCAUUUCAACUAAACAAACUGAAAAUGUCUUCCUCUUGGAAAUGACAAGUUCGCCCACUGCCAAAUAGAAGACAGUAUGACAAGUUCGGCAUGUCACUUUAUUUUUUUACAAAAUAUCGGCUUGGAUUAAAUUUUAUUUAAAAUUUUAAAUAUUAUAUUAUAAAUUUUUAAAGUUAAAUUUGAUUGAAUUAAAUUUUAUUAGUUCAUUUAUCAAUUUUUAAAAUUUAAUUUAUUUUUAUAUAUCAUUUUAAUAUAAAAUUUUAAUAUAAAUUUAUUAUUUUUAUUUUACAAAAAUUUAAAGAUAUAUAAUUUAAUUUAUUUUUUAUUUUUAUUCGAAUAUAAUAUAUAAAUUCAAUAUUCAAACUUAACUAUAAUGAAAUAAAAAAAAAUUAAUCCAAAUCAAAUGAAAUAUUAUUAUUUUUUAAUCAAUUUUAGAUUUUUUUUAUUUUUUCUUCACCCCUAAUUAUUCCGGCAAUUGGCAAACAUUCUAGUUCAUGUUGCCAUGAAGGAACAGUUUUAGAUCUACUGCAUACGCAAUGACAUCAAAUAAAGCAGGCCACCAUUUUAUUCGAGCACCGCUCUGUUAGGUGUAUCAACUCCUGAAGAAGAUAAGACUUUUUUUAACGAUUCGACUAUAAGACAUCGUCAUAUAACUUCCAAACAUAAAAAAUUAUAUAAAUGGAAAGUUCUAAAGUUGUUCUAGACAAAAACUUUAACAUAGAACUUGAACAACAAACCAAUAUCAUAAUUCAGUCAGGUCGAUAUCAACCCCCCCUCCCCAACACCCCAUCCCAACAACCUAUUAACAUUUUCACUUAAAAAGCAAAAGCAGAAAGCAUUUGAAUAUCACCAUUCCUGCCUCUUUGAGACUCCCAUUUAGCUGGCACGGCUUCUUAUAACAUCAAGUCCCAUUUCAGUGGGAUCAGUUGCCUGCAGCUCUACUUGAAUACCAUCCAACUCUCUCUUGAACCUGUCCUUGGAGCUUGCAUAAAUCAUCUUGCUUCUCACCCUUGCUGUGUCAGGAGACCUUCAUACAAACAACAAGAAACAUAAACAGUUAAAAUGUACAAAGCUUGGGAAUAAUACUAAAAACCACUAAUAGUUUUAUGCAUAUAAUAAUACCAUGCAAUGAAGAAAAUCCUGCUUUUCUGGCAAUUCUCAGCAGUCACAAAAUCAAAAUCAUACACAGCAUAUCGACACUCAUCAGCAGGGAGGCUUGCAGUGAAAUCCUCGUAGCUCUGAGUUGGCUCACCAACCUUUUCCACAACAACCUGCUUUUGUUUCUCCUCAAUCUUGAAUACUAUGAAGCGGUAAGUUCUUUUAGCCUUUAACUCUAGAAACUUCAGCUUGCAGUCAUCGUGCACAGCCAUUCCAGAAGCUGCGUUAGCCUGCAAUAGAAUGGUUCAUAGAAUACAUAAGCUUUCUUACAAUAAUCCAUUAGCUUUUCCUAAGCUUUUCUUUUUUCCCCCUUUGCAAGCAUUCCCAAGAAAUGAAAUCAUAAAUAAGCUACUCAAAGAAAUCACACGUUUUUGAGUUCUCCCCAAUUACAAAAGAAGAGAAAGGCAGGUCAAUAACUCAAAGCACUACUACCAUUCUCACAUUCCUCAAAAUGACAGCCUAACUACCAUAACCAACCAACAAAGCUAACGAUCCAGGGCAACCACAUUGAUCCAAUCCCACUUAUUUUCCAGGGCUUUGACAAUGAAUCAUAAAUUUUAAAUCACACAAAAAUUCUUACACAUUAACAGGCCUAAAUAUAAUAUUCCAUUCUAAGAACAUCAGCUAAAUGCGGAACUCCGUGAGAUGAAUGCCAAUGACUUUAUUUUUCAUAAAAUCAAGCAACAACAACAAUAAUACAGGUAAUUGAGAAGACAUAUCAUGGGUCAUCAAUAGAACCGCUUCCGCAGUGAUGCAUGUCCGCUUGUGGGAUAAAAAAAUCUUAAGUAUAUUAAAGAGAAUGAGUAAAAUCUAUGCACAAUGGACAAUGGAAGAAUGAUAAAAAAAAUCCCAUUUUGAAACAGAAAGCCAAGAAAGAUAUACAGAUUAAGAAGCUGAUACCAUACAAUCAACUGUUCAUUAAACAUUAUAAUGCUUAUUAAUAUUUGUAUUCAAACAUAAAUUUCCAAAGGAAUCAAGAGGGCAGAUCUAUGGAGAUUAACUAAAUCAUUUUAUUUUUAUCUAUAAUAAAAGUCUCACAUUUGAUUACAAAUUUACAAUCCAAAACUACAACACAGCAACAAUAGAUCAAAGCAAAGAAUAUUUAUUGCUAUCGUUAAAAAAUUUUAAAAAUUCAAACUAAGUUAAUAAGAAGAAAACAAAGAGAUCUAUGUUCAAAAUAAAAGAAAAAUUAGAUCCACAUUAAUAAAAAAAAAAAAGUAAAAUUUCUACAGUAAGUCAAAGAAGCACAAAUAAAAAAGCAACACUUGAACUGAAAAAGAAAAAUUAAAUAAUAGAAAAAAAAGAAUACGAACAACUCACCAUGGCUUUUUUAGCAGAACUUGCAGAGAAAAUCUACGGGAACAAAAAUCUAAAAAGAUGGAAAAGGAAAUUGGGUUUUCACAAGGGAAUUGAGAUAAUGAUAAAAGGACUCCACCCUUUUUUAAUUUUUUUUUUGUUUAUUUUGAAUAUCAUGAAUCACGAUAGGCCGUACGAGAUAACGGGAAGAGAAAAGGUUGUCUGUUCAAUUAUAAUGUGACACGUGGUUUAAAGGCUAAAUGUCGGCUAUGCCCCUAAGUCAGGUUGCUUUCGCGGUUGGUUUUGGAGUAGGACUCGAAACCAACUUGGAUUCAUGAGAGUGGCCCCCACACAUGGCCGUAGCCCUUCAGGAUCCAGCAAGUCAUAUGGGCCGGAUAUAAGCCCGUGACAAAACCAAGCCCAAUAUAGCUUUACGACGUUAGCAUAUGAAUUUUUUUUGUUUAAAUAAUUGAGAUUUAUAACAUGUUUUAUAUUGUAACUCAGUCAUUGUACCAUAAUAUCAUGAGAAUUUGGAAAUUGUUUUAUAUAUAUAUCAUGAGAAUUUGGAAAUUGUUUUAUAUAUAUAUCAUGAGAAUUUCUUUCUUUCGUAUCAAACAAAGUGAUAACGGAAACUCUACCUUUAUUUGUAAAGUCCUAAGUUGAAUUCAACUUACUUGUUGUUUAGUUGAUGACAGCAAUUCACUCCAUUUGGUAUGAAAUAUAGAAAAGAUAAAUGAAUGAAAAAAAAAAAUCUAAUCCUUAAGUAAGAUAUAUAUAUUAUUUGGAAAUUGUGAAUAAAACAAAGUUCUUGAUAAUAUUGAAUAUUAAUUCUUCCCAUGAUAGAAUAAACAAAUUUUCUUGUUAAUUAUAGACAUUGCAUGAUUUUAUAUUAAUUAUCUCGUUGAUUAAAAAAGCCACUAAUUAAGUUAUUAGGAUCACAAUUAUCUAAUUUUGACUUGAUCUAAAUCUCAACACAGUUACUAGAAUCAAAACUAUUUUUGGUACGAUCUUAUUAAUGCAAAUCAUAAUAUUUUUUUAAGAGAUAAAUUUUAAAUUUUAAUAUUUAUAAUUUUUUUAAUUUUUAUAUUGUGAAUUUUUGUAAACAAAAAUCCAAAUUAUUUACAAUUAUGGAGUAAUAUAUUGAUAAAAUAUCAACUCUUAAUUUCAAUUAUAAAGAUUUAAUCAUAACAAGGUCAAAUGAAAAUUAAAAAAAAAAACCGGAAAUUUAGCCUCUGUACUUUAUACGGGAGGCAUUAACAAAUAAUGCCUUCUAAAAUCCAGAAAAUCAGAAGCGGGAAACCAAAAAUAUUUGUAAAUGGCGGCCGAAUUAUUCGUCAAUUGGAAAAAAAUUUUUAAAAAAUCUGAACUUGCUCUUCAUUGGUUCAUUCAAAUUCACACGGAUUGCACCCGAAUAACUUCCAACCGUCGAUAAGUUCCACAUCUAACGGCAGUCAUUGACCAUUCGCCCCGCUCCACCUCUUCCAAAACCACCGCUAUAAAAUACUCGAACCUCGCAUUGUCGGUACAUAAUCUUUCGUGAAUUCCAAUCCACAGCGUCUAAUUUCAAAGCUGAGAGUUUUAUUUGUUGAAGCAUCAGGGUUGGUUCGAAGCAAAAUGGAUGUUGGAGGAAAGGUAAAGAAGGGGGCUGGAGGAAGAAAAGGCGGUGGUCCAAAGAAGAAGCCUGUUUCAAGGUCCGUCAAAGCUGGACUGCAGUUCCCCGUCGGAAGGAUCGGCCGUUACUUGAAAAAAGGAAGGUAUUCGCAGAGGGUCGGAACCGGAGCUCCAGUUUAUUUGGCUGCCGUUCUUGAGUACUUAGCUGCUGAGGUAACUGAGAUUUAAAUUAAAUCAUUGACUGAGUUAUUAUUAUUGUCUUUUUAUAUUUCUUAAUAUGGGGAAUUUGUAUUUGAAGUCAGGUUCUGGAAUUGGCUGGAAAUGCAGCACGUGACAACAAGAAAAACAGGAUUAUCCCAAGGCACGUGUUACUCGCCGUGAGGAAUGACGAAGAACUCGGGAAGCUUCUCGCCGGCGUCACCAUCGCUCACGGUGGCGUCAUACCGAACAUCAACCCUAUUCUUUUGCCGAAGAAGACUGAUAAGGCUCCCAAGGAACCCAAAUCUCCAUCAAAGGCUACCAAGUCCCCGAAGAAGGCUUAGUUUGAUUAAGAAACUUAUAUUAUUAGGCUUUUGUUUUCCUUGUGAUUUUGGGGUCUUUAGGAUUUUGUUUGUCAUUGUUGAUGUGUAGGGGAAAAAAGUUUCAAGCAAAAUUGAAGAUUUUAUUAUUAUUGUUAGAAUCCCAUUAUCUUGUACGUGAUUUUAAUGGAAAUGAAACUACUUGUUUCUGUUCUUGACAUAACAAUCUGCUUCAAGGAAUAUUUUCCUUUUAAUAGUUUAGAUCAAAUUUAAUUUAAUUUUUUUUGGAUAUUAUAUAAUAUUAUAAAAUUAAAAAAUUUAAUUUUAUUGAUUUGGAUUAGUUUAUUAAUUUUUUAAAAUUAAAUUUUUUUUAUAUAUUAUCUUACUAUAUAAAAAAAUUUUGAUAUAAAAUUAAUAUUUUUAUUUUAUAAAAAUUAAAAAAAUUAUUGGUUUGGUUUUAUUUUAUUUUCAUCUUUAAAUUCAAAAUCUAAUUUAAACUUAAUAUAUAUAUUUAAUAUUUAAAUUUAAUAUAAAUUAAAUAAAAAUAAUUUAAACUGAAUUGAAUAUUAUAUUUUUAAAUCAAUUUUUGGUUUUUUUAUUUUUAUUUUUUUACUCCUACCCUUUGGUCAUAGAAGGGUUACACAAUUAGCUUUAAACAAUACCUUGUACACUCGAAAUCAAUUUUGAUUUCAGCUGUUGUCAAACCAUUUUAUGGUUGAGUACUAAUUGUUUGCUAGAGUUAGAAUGUUUAAUGUUUUUUGAAGGAAAAUUCAGAACACAAGGGAUUGCUGUAUAUGGGGAGCAAUUUAUCUGUUUGAAUUGGGUUAUUGUGAUUGAGUUUGUCGUUAACAGCGCAAGCCAUAUUUUGCAGAGCUUAAAUGCCUGAUGCGUGAUUUUUAACCAAUCCAUCAUCGGGACAAUCAUACAAUUGUUCUGAUUUGACAUACUUUUUACGUAGCUUGUGAGUCAUGCUUGCAAUGGCUUGAAUUUGGGGCCAGUUGGACAAUUUUUGUUUUUACAUCCUUGUGAUCUUAAUGAAUUGAGGGUAGGUGAGGUGGUGAAAUUGUAUAAAACAAUUGUAAGAUUUGUGUUGAAAUUAAGUACAAGUUUUUAAGAAAUAAUAUGAGAAGAAAUGAGCAUAGCUAAUAUGAAAAUUUUUAAAUGAAUGUGUGAUAAAAUUAAAAAAAUUAAAAAAUGAAGAGAUUUAAAAAAAAUAAAACUAAUUAAAUUGAGAAAAAGAUAAGAAAGUAUCAUUUGAAAUGAGUUGAAUAUGUAAAACGUGGAUUUAUUUGUGCAUCAAUUAAAAUAAAUAAGCUUUUAAAUUAAAAAAAAAUUAAAAUUUUUAAAGAUAAAUUACCAAAAAUAUAAAUAUAAUGAUUAAAAAAAUAGAUGAAAAAAUUGUUGAUAGAAAUGAAUUAUGAUAUAAUAUAAUUUUUUUAUAUAUAUUUUAUGCAAUUAAUCUUAGAAUAUGAGAUAUAAAAUUUAAUUUGUUGUUAUUAUUGUUGUAAUCUUGACGAAGAUUUCGCUCAUCUCAUCAUCUUCAUCGUCGUCAUCUUAGCAACUGUCGUUCCUAUUUUUAUUUUAGUGGCUAGGAAGCAGAUGACUUUUGAUGCGUCUCUUUUGAUUAUGUAACGUAGGUAGCUCUGCUUGGUUUAAGAGUUCGAUUGGAUUUUGAAGGGCAAAAUGAGUAGAUUGAUGCAGCUACCUCUUGGGCCGAUAAGUCAAGUUUUGCAGUUAUAAUUGAGAUUUUUCAGUUGGUAGGGAAUUGGGGGCAUCGACAUCUUAGGUCCCAAAGGAAUGGGUUUUCAGUCAUGGCAUAAUGAUGCCCAAAACCUGAAAGAGGAAGCUAAACACGUGACAGAGUAGGCAAAUAGCAGGUUAACAGCCGGUUCUUUCUUUUCCUGUUUCAGUAAUAUUUGACUGUUAACAAUUGUUGGAAUUGAUUGAAAUUUUUUUUUUUUUAAAUUUGAGAUAAAUAAGUUGUUUAGUUUUUUAAAUUAAGAUAAAAUAUAAAAUAUCUAACAAUUUAAAAUAAGUGAUUGUAAGUCGUGUAUUUAAAAUAACUUCAAUAAAUAGACAUUAACAGGAUUCGAACCAAACACUUUUUUGUCAAAUAAGAUAAGCCUUAAUCAAUUGAAUUAAUCACCUAUUGGUGGAUUAAUUGAAAUUUCAUAAAAAAUUGGAUAAAAAUGAGAUUGAUUAUAUAUUAUUUGAUAGACAAAAAAAUUUAUAAGAGAAAAAAUUUAAAAUAAAUGAUUUUUGAUGAAUAAAUUUGUAUAUUAUAAAUAAAUAAAAUCUCCAUAAAAUAAAAAAUAUAUAUAAAAAAGUUGAAAGAUUUUAUUUAGAUAAAUAUCUCAUAAAAUUAGAUGAGAUUGAAAAAAAUUUUAUUAUUGUAUAUGUUUGAUUGAACUAAAAAAAAAUUAGAUAGUUCACAUAUAUAUAUGUUGAACAACAUGUAUAUAUGUUUAUUUUAAUUAAAAAUACUUCAUAAAAAUAUAAAAGAAUAUGUUUGAAAAAAUUCAUGAGUAUUGAUUGUGAGAAUUGAUUGAUAUAAUAUAUAUAUUUAUAAUUUUUUACAAUUAAUAAAUUUUUUUUUAUCUGUUGAUAUAAAUUGAUUAAACUAAAAUACGUUAAAUUAUUAAUUUUUAUAAUGAUUGAUUAUUUAAUUAUACUUAUGUUAGCUUAGAUGUUUAAUUGCUUAAGAGCAUUUUUGUUUAACAAUAGUAUUAUCUUAGCUGUGGCUAUCCAAGUUCGAGGACUAUCAGGAAGAAACACUAUAUCGACAACUCUAACCUAUGUGUAAUGUACAUCGGCCAAAUGAAUGUUAAAAAAUGACCAUGUAUGAGAUUUUUCUUCAGGAAGAUAAUGACAAUCACAAUGCUGAAUGUUGAUACGGAUUUUGCUCAUUACUGCUGCAGCUAUAGUCUAUAAAUACAGCUGAGUUCUCCAAGCAUAGAUUAUUACCAGAGAGACCGUAAAAACUGUCAGUAAAUGCCCAAGUUUUUGAAGCAAAUCCUUGCAUUAUUGGACAAUGAAAAAUGCCAUUUUCUUCAGCUGUCAGAAUCAAUCUCAGGGCUUCUAUCAUUUGCGAAUUCAACAAACAUCAUCCUCGCGCGGACAAACUGUGCAGAAUAACAAAAAAAAAAAAGAAAAAGACAUCUUAAGACAGGGCAUCUGAUCAAGUACAUCAGAAACAGGUUCAAGCAACCUUAUUUAUGACCGACUUAAUGAAUUCAUGAAAAAUUCCCUUCUGGGGCAUCCUAGUGAAUUCAAUUUUUUUAAAAUUUUUUUAUUACGAAGAAAGUGCUGAAAUCGCGUUUACUCUUAUUAAAAGCACACUAUUCGUAACAAAUCCUAAUGGGAAAACAUACUUUAAAGCGGCAUUAAGCAGAGUAUUAAUCAUAUUGAUUAACAUUCUUACAGUAAAUCAGGUUCAUUACCUAACAAUCAGUGCCAAAUCACAAUUGCCAGACAGAACCAGAUGCAAAAAAGUGCACAGUGAAGGAGAAUAAGAGGAUUACCCGGCCAUUCAUGGCUUUCAUCGCCUUCUGUGCUUCAGACUCAGUUUCAAAUGUAACAAAACCAAACCCUUUAGACCUUAGAGUUUUGGGGUCUCUGAUUACCUUAGCUACACUCACCAAAAAAGAAAACAAAACCCAAUUGAAGAACCGGCCAAAUGAUAUGAUUUUCAAAGAAAAGAGAAAGAAAGACGACAAAUUGAGUGAAAAAAUUCAGUACCAUCUUUAACAACGCCAAAUUGUGAAAAUAAAGUUUUAAGUUCAUGGCGGGUUGUGAAAUAUGACAACUCUGCAACGAAGAGUAAGAAUCAAUACCUCAAAUAUAAAAUAAAUCUGAUAGAAGCUGAAAAGUGAGAGAGGGAAAGAGAGAAAGGAAAUUAACUGUUAAUGAAGAGCCGAGAGCCCAACCUCUUUGCCAUCUAAGGAAGAAGGGAAAUGCAGCCAAAUAGGGCAAAUGCUCGCUAUUUAUUGAGAGCCGAGUGAAACGACGCCGUCCAGCCUACCUUAUAUUAUUAUUAUUAUUUUUAUUUUCGCAUUUUAGAUAUGACAAUUCUUGUGUCCGAAUUAAAACUUUAUCACUAAAAACUUUAGUACUUCGAAUAUAAUUCUUUAAUACGAAUAAAAACUUUAGUACUAAUUAAAAGAAGGAAGACAGAACAAAUGUACCAUUAUGCAUAAAUUGCAGAAAAAAUUGAUAAAUGAACAAUUUUAGCUCAAGAAAAUCGAUGGAGUUUCAGAGAAGUACAUGAAGAAGCUGACAUUUUCUCCUGCAUAAAUGGUACCUGUGCUGGCAAAAACUGCUGUAUAUCAACUAUGGAGUAUCUUGUUUCAAGUUUAAUAUGUAGUGUCUCAUAAAAAAUUCUAAAGACAACAGCUACUCUGCUACUUUUCUCACAUUCAGAGUAGUGACACUGAAAGCAUCCAAAAAAAUAUUGAACUAAUAGGCGAGUUAGAAUGAGCAAGAGAACCAGCAAGAAUUCUUUGCAGAAAGUGAAUGUUUAUGGAUUUUGGCCAGAAAUCUUCAGUUGAAUUGCUGGCCAUUCAGUUGUUCUCGAUUUCCAUCCCAAUAUAGCACUUCAUUCUUGGCACCCAGAAUGUUGACUCAAUACCAAUUCAAAUGCCUUUUGUUUUGGAACGCAAUUCAUUGUUUGAAAGGGAAAUGAAAACCCUGACAGAUAGAGCAGAAACCCUUUAUUACUCGGGUAGCUGUUCCAACUACAAUCUGAAAAUCAAUUUGUACUUAGAAAGAUGCAGUAAAUAAAAAAAUAAAAAAGAUACUUCCUGAUACCGUUGUUAUUAAUUCGUUAUGAUAUGCAACUGAAACAAGUUCUUUCCAAUGUUAAGGGCUUUGAAUGUGGGUGGUGGACAGAACAAGAACUUGUUUCAGAGGGUGAAUCUAUCAGAUUCGAUCAACCAUCAACUGUUAUGAGCCCAGGUUUGCAUCUAAGCAAUGUAUGUGCAUUCUAAAAUCAGAUCUCUUAUAUUUAUAAAAUAUAAGUUAUUUAAUUUGUACAUAAUUUAAUUACUACAUUUUUGUGCAUUAUUAACAUAAUUUGUUAUUAGGAUCAAUAGUUUAAAUUUGAAAUUAAAGGACGAUACUAAUAGAAAGUUAAACAUAUAAAUUUUAUGAGACAAAAAUAAUAAAAAUAUUAAUUAAAAAAUAAAAAAAAACUUAUUUUUCCUUUUUAUAUAUUUCCAUUUCCCUUCUCAACAUUAUAAUCUAACUUUGGGUGUUUCUUGGACACAGCUGAAACAAUCUUCUUGAGUGCUCCUUGUAGACACCAAAUUGGGUCCGACCCAGAUCAAUUGGGCCUGGCCCAAAUGGGUAAGCCCAAUUCAAUUUUAUCUUGUAUUUUUUUUUCUCUUUUUUUCUUCUUUUGUAUUUUAUGUAUUGUAUUAUUUAUUAUUAUUAUUAUGUAUUAAUAUAUGUUAUAUAUUUAUUUAUUUAUUUUUGUUAAUAUUUAUGUGUAUUUUAUUAUUUAUGUAUAUAUAUAUAUUUUUAUCUUUUUUAUUUUAUUCAUUUUUGUAUUUUUACUUAUCUAAUUAUAUAUCUGAUAUAUUUUUUUAUAUUAUUUAUCCUAUAAUAUUUGCUGAUUUAUCUUCUCUAAUUAUCUAGUUUUUUAUUUUAUCUGAUUUUUGAUUUUGGAGGGGCUGAGAUUGAAGGCUGACGAAUCCCAUUGGGAAAUGGGAAUUCAAUCAGAAGAGUCCAGUGGAUUCAAAGAUUGAAUUCCCGUUCCAAGGAGAAGAUUGAGAUUGAUCAAGAACUUCCUGAUCAAUCCCUAUAAAAAGGGACUCUGGAAACCAUAAUGCCAAGACACACAGAAAAACAGUAAGCAAAGCCUACUGAUUUGAGAGAAAGGAGUGCGUUAUAGAAAGCUAGGAAAAGUUAGGAGUGUUCUAGGAGUGAGAAAAAUUUUUAGAGAUUUUUGGCGAAAAUUUUUCUGGAAAUUUCUGGGAAAUUUCCAGAUUCCGGCGAAAAUUCCGGCGAAAUUUGAAUUUUCGCAACAAUUCCGGCAACAUUGAAGUUUCCGGCGACCACCCAGUUUCCGCGAAGAAUCCCAGAAACCGGCGAUCUUCCGGCCAACUUCCGCGAAAUUUCCAGAUUCCGGCGAAUUUCCAGAAUCCGGCACCGGUGUUCUUCAGUUUCUAGAGAGAAGGGAGAGAAAAAGGAAGAAGAGAGAGAGAGAGGGAGGAGCGUUCUGCCGAAAAACGAAGGUGCCUUUUAUACCCUCCCAAAACGACGUCGUUUUGGCUUAAGUAACCAGAGGAUCCGCGCGUUUUGCCGAACCCGACCCGACCCGGGCGUCGACCCGCUUUCUGACCCGCGCGUGCCAGCCCCUCCGAGCCGAGCCGAGCCGCCAAGCCGCUCCCCCGAGCCGUUUUCUCUUCCUUGAGCCGAGCCGAGCCGAGCCGCGAUCCGAGCCGCUCCAGGUUUUUUUUUUUUUUUUUUUGAAUUUUUUUAUUUCUUUGUUUAUUUGUUUAUUUUAUUUUUUAUUUAUUAGAUUAGGUUUAUGUAAUAUUCUUUUUAUUUAUUUUUUAAAAAAAAAAAAAAAAAAAAAAAAAAAAAAAAAAAAAAAAUAAAUUUCCAAAAAAAAUAUUUUUAGGGAAAAGUUGAAAGUAUCAAUUUUCCUUAAAAUAAAUUUCAAAAAAAAUAUUUUUAGGGAAAAGUUGAAAGUAUCAAUUUUCCUUAGAAAUAAAUUUCCAAAAAAUAUUUUUGGGAAAAGUUGAAAGUAUCAAUUUUCCUUAAAAUAAAUUUCAAAAAAAAAUAUUUUUGGGGAAAAGUUGAAAGUAUCAAUUUUCCUUAGAAAUAAAUUUCAAAAAAAUUUUUGAGGAAAAGUUGAAAGUAUCAAUUUUUCUUGAAAAUCAAAAUUUUCAAAAAAAUAUUUUUGGGGAAAAGUUGAAAGUAUCAAUUUUCCCUAAAAAAAAUCAUUCUUUCCUUCCUUUCUAUCUUAAUUUUGAUUUUUUUUUUUUCUUUAAAUAAUCCGACGACGGAGCCUCUGCAAGUGAAACAGUAGUUUUUCUUGCAUACUCUUGAGGUGAGGGAAUUUUCUCAAUUUUCUGCUAAAAGUAUUAGAGUCAAUUGAGAAUAAUUUCAAUAAUUAAUUACUUGGUAAAAUUUUAAGGCUUUUGGAUAACACAAAUUUAAGCUGGUACCAUCUUUUGAUGGGCGUUGUGAGGGUGCUAUAACCUUCCUCACACGUAACCGAACUCCCGAACCCUGUUCUGGUUAGCAGACCUGAACCUAUUCUUUUAGGGACCCUUAAACUUAGGUGUUCCCUGAAAGGACAGAUUCCUUAGGUGGCCAAUCGCACCUAGAUAAAAAAGAUUGGUGGCGACUCCCUAAAAGUCAAUGUCUAGCGAUAGAUCCCCGGAUCUAGACGUUACGACAGCUUGGCGACUCCACUGGGGACUUGAGAGUCAGGCCAGCAAAUAAUUUGUGUUAUCCAAAAGCCUAAUAAAAUUGAACCUUUUGUAUAUAUGUGUUAUUAUUCAUUCAUGUAUUUACUUGUUAAUUAUGUCAUUCAUGUGCAUGUGCAUAACAUGAGCUCUACACCCGAGCUCCGUCCCUCUAGGAGGGAGUAAAGUACCUAUUGCUUUCGUGAGGUCUAAUGCCUCCGCAGUGGCUAGCGAAAUACUCCCACUCAAAUUGAACCUUUUCCGCUUGUAGCCUGUAAUGGGUGAGGAUUAGGGUGCCUUACUAGUCUGUGAUGGACAAGGAUGUAAGGACAAUUUGAGGACCUUUAGACUUUGACCUUAAAACCGCAUGUAGUGAACCUUAAGAGUGCCUACACCUAGAUAGAGCCUUUCUACCCAAUGAUAGAUAUACCCUGAAAUUAGGACACAAAAAGGGUGUUUAUCUAAUCAUUUUGAUUGUUUAACUUUGUGUAUUAUUUUUAUCAUAUGUAACAUUANNNNNNNNNNNNNNNNNNNNNNNNNNNNNNNNNNNNNNNNNNNNNNNNNNNNNNNNNNNNNNNNNNNNNNNNNNNNNNNNNNNNNNNNNNNNNNNNNNNNNNNNNNNNNNNNNNNNNNNNNNNNNNNNNNNNNNNNNNNNNNNNNNNNNNNNNNNNNNNNNNNNNNNNNNNNNNNNNNNNNNNNNNNNNNNNNNNNNNNNNNNNNNNNNNNNNNNNNNNNNNNNNNNNNNNNNNNNNNNNNNNNNNNNNNNNNNNNNNNNNNNNNNNNNNNNNNNNNNNNNNNNNNNNNNNNNNNNNNNNNNNNNNNNNNNNNNNNNNNNNNNNNNNNNNNNNNNNNNNNNNNNNNNNNNNNNNNNNNNNNNNNNNNNNNNNNNNNNNNNNNNNNNNNNNNNNNNNNNNNNNNNNNNNNNNNNNNNNNNNNNNNNNNNNNNNNNNNNNNNNNNNNNNNNNNNNNNNNNNNNNNNNNNNNNNNNNNNNNNNNNNNNNNNNNNNNNNNNNNNNNNNNNNNNNNNNNNNNNNNNNNNNNNNNNNNNNNNNNNNNNNNNNNNNNNNNNNNNNNNNNNNNNNNNNNNNNNNNNNNNNNNNNNNNNNNNNNNNNNNNNNNNNNNNNNNNNNNNNNNNNNNNNNNNNNNNNNNNNNNNNNNNNNNNNNNNNNNNNNNNNNNNNNNNNNNNNNNNNNNNNNNNNNNNNNNNNNNNNNNNNNNNNNNNNNNNNNNNNNNNNNNNNNNNNNNNNNNNNNNNNNNNNNNNNNNNNNNNNNNNNNNNNNNNNNNNNNNNNNNNNNNNNNNNNNNNNNNNNNNNNNNNNNNNNNNNNNNNNNNNNNNNNNNNNNNNNNNNNNNNNNNNNNNNNNNNNNNNNNNNNNNNNNNNNNNNNNNNNNNNNNNNNNNNNNNNNNNNNNNNNNNNNNNNNNNNNNNNNNNNNNNNNNNNNNNNNNNNNNNNNNNNNNNNNNNNNNNNNNNNNNNNNNNNNNNNNNNNNNNNNNNNNNNNNNNNNNNNNNNGUCAAAAUUUGGGGCUAGCUUCCAAUAUGGAGAUGGCAAACAUGACAAGUACCGAUAGUACAGCAAAUAAGUUGUUCUCUUACCCUAAUAUUCACUUUCCUAAACUUGAAUCAGAGAAAGUAGUGAUGCUUCAUGUUUGAAUUAAAGCCAUUCUGUUCCAAGCAAUAGCAUAAUGCAAAUUCCACCAUUUUCGAUCUUAGCUCUUGACCCAGUAUAUUCAUGCCCUAACUACUCACUAAUGGUUUUAACACCAUUCAAACUAUUUAACUUUCUGAAUCACCAUUUAAAACCAACCUGAUAGCCAGAGCUUUUCUUCAAACCCACAUUCAGGAGUUAGGCAGCAUAUUGCACCGAACCAAUGCCUUACUCAGCAAAGAGCUUAAGAGCAAGGCUGCAUAUUCCAGCUGAUCCCAAAGAAAAGCAGGCAUAUGCUGAGACAGAGACUACAGUCGCUUUCGAUGGAAUCUGAAGAAAGUGCACAGUCAUAGGCUCCACAACAAGCUCCUAUACAGCAAUUGUACUAAGCCUUCCAACAGUUUUUCUCCAUCAAGAAGCCAACUGGAUGAACUGAAAAAGAGAGAUUGUACAGUAAUUGACUACAAUAAGCCACAUCAGCAGCCAUGACAGAUAAUGGGAAAGGUAUAUUUCCUUGAAAAUAAUGCAACAGAGUGAAGAAACUUAACCACACUAAAAGCCUAAAUUGGAAAACCAAUUGCAUCACCAGCAACACAAAGGGCAAAAUUCUGAGCAGAUAAAACAGAAACCACAAGAGACAGAACGUAAAGAAAUCUACCUCACUUGCAGUCUCCCAGGUUUCACAAUGCAGGAGCAGCCAAAAGGCAAUGCAGAUCUGGGCAACAGAAAGAUUACUCCUACCACAGCAUGCAGCCAAAGUUUACUUAAAUACUCUGAGAAAACGUUUCCACUUUCGUUCCCAAUUUGUGGGAUGAGUCACUUUCAAUGAAGCCGAAAGCAUAAUUGCAGAUUACAAAAUGACAGCCUUCCACUCACCCACAUUCUUUAUACCCAAGUCAAAGGAACAAUCAACAGAAAAGCCCAAACUCCAUAAAUCAAGAUACAAAUAGUUCUCUUCAUGAUUAGCCCCUCUAAAGAGUGAUUUUGGUAGAUACACAACAUAGUCAGGGAUCAAGCACAUAAUGUCCACAGUAAAAAAGACUUAAAACCAACCAAUAGAACAUGAGAAAGCCUCAAUUUGUCUGCAUCGCUUCAGAAUGAUACUUCUCUAGAUCAGCAUCAAGAUCUUCUGCAGAAACUUUUUCUCCACUGCUCUUUCCCCGUCCACAACCUCUUCCAAAGCCAUGGCCUCCAGCACCACCACGUUGCCUGCCAAAUCUUCCAUCCCUGCCUUGGCUACUGUAAAAUAACUAUAACAAGGUUAGAUUACUAAGUCAAGUCUAUCAAGAACCAAAAGAUGUUGAAGAAUAAGAGAAAAGAAAGAUAUGGAACAGAUGCCACACAGAUUCACUAACAUAAAUAUUGGUAUGGUAGCAAUUUGUUACAAGUUAACAAGCACAUACAAAUAUGAGUUGUUGUAUGUCCCAUUAAGUAAAAACAACAGAAUUACCAAGAUCAAGUGAUAAGUGAUAUCAUAUUUGUCUACAUCACUUAAAAAUAAAUAUAUAAUUUACUUGACUCCGCUAAUAUCUCAGGGAAAAUAUUUCAGGCAAGAUGCUUGUUCAACAAAAACUAAAAAUUCAAAUAAAUUGAUGAUUAAGGAGAAUUUUCUACCAAGAAUUAAUCCUAAGAUUAACAUCUUAUGGAGAUAUAAUGCAGCUUUAGAAAUUUUCAGUAACACAACCUAACUGAAACGUAUAGGCAAAACUUGUAAGCACUCCAUAAGUAUAAAAUAAGACAUCAAGGUAACAAAUACUAGAAUAUAAACUUUUGCAGAAAACAAGGUCAUAAAAAUAUACAAUAAGGCAUACCCUCUAGGGGCUACAUUUGAAAUUCCAAAGCUGCCAUUAGCAUCUGAAGGUGCAGCAAGAGUAGCAACAUUGGUUCCCACAAUCUCGAUUUUCAUCGGCUUUCCAUUGAGCUGAACGUUUUUGCAUCUGUUGACUGCAGUCAUAGCAUCCGUUCGCAGAGAGAAGACAACUUCUGCUGUUCCCUAAGAGAAAAAGUCCUUUUGUUCAAACUACUGCAUGAUACAAAGAAUUUCAUCGAAGGACCAGUUUAUCCCAAAAUACCUUCAAUCUCCCACUCCUAUCAUAAUGAACCAAAAAUCGUUUCAGGUCACCAACCUCAGAAAAUAACUCCUGUAUAAAUACACAUAAACAUUAGAAAAAUAACUCUUCUUCACAAUACUAAUCUCAAAUAUAAUGAAUAUUUGAACAAUUUUCCAAAGAGCUAAGCCGGAGGAAUCGCCACGAAUAUAAGCUUAUGGAGAACAAAAGUUCAAAUCAAUAUCAACGUUAAAACAAUAACAGAUCGAAACAGAAAAGAAAAUCUUAUAUUAAAAUUUAAAUAAGAAAAUAGCAAAAAAACUUAGAUAAAAGCCUUGAUGUCAUCGUUGGAAACACCAAAAUCUAAAUUAGAGACGUAAAGCUUCGUCCCGGUUUCGGUUGCGGAGGCCCGUCCUGCUAGUCCUUGGAACGCCGCUCCCUUAUCCGAAUAUAUAUCGUGCUUCCACAUCGACUCCGGCGCCGGAACCAAAAAUACAACGGACUUAAUUGAUAACAGAUUCGAAUAAAAAUAAAUAAAUAAAUCUAAUAAUGAAAAACAAAAAAAAUAAAAAAUCAGAUCUAAACUCCUAGAAACGCACCUUCGCUGUGGUAUACGGUGCGGAGCGGUUUACGCCGCGAUUAGGAAAGCGGCGAGCGGGUCCCGAUCCGCAUCCAAGGCCCCGACCAUGGUAGUUUCAAGACUGGAUUUACGGUUGCGCUUGAUGAGAUCGUCUAGCGACAUCUCUAAAGCACUUGACAUUUCUGUAAAUCUUCUUUAGUAAAGAACAAAAGAAACAGAAAGAGAGAGAGAAAAAAAAAAGUACAGAUUAGAGGAGUAGAGAUAGGGUACCCGCAAAAGAAAAGAACUCAGAAAAGAUUUGUAUUAAAAAAUGACACACACUUGAGUCUGUUUAACACGUGUAUUUCACAUGGUAUAUAGUCAUUCUUCGAAAGACAAUGACAUUCAGGUGUCGUCGUGUCACGUCAGUGUCUG
rnacentral:lncRNA from 1 species